GGCAUAGCUCAGUGGAAGAGCAGCUGCCCUGCAUGCAGAAGGUCCCAGCCUCAAUCCCUGGCAUCUCCA